AACUUCGACUUUGUUGAAGCGCAUUCAGUCUUGUAAAAACAUUCGCUGAGAACACGUGUUUCACUGGGGGCCAUUUACAGUUCUAUUUUCAUCGGAAAUAAGAUUUUUGCACUGUGUAAUACUUUCUAUGUGUGUUGUCAAAGGAAAUGUGAGAUUUACAAAAGCUGGAAGUUGGAAUCAAGGACUUUUUUGUAUCUAACAACAAAGUGACGAUAUUACCAAACUCGUAGUUUAUGCCAAUGGCAGACGAUAUCCCACCGAACAAGCGUCCACCGUACAAAAAACGCAGCUCAUCAAUAUCGGCACCAGCAUGUGCAAGUAUGGAAACCAUAGUGAGUCCCCCAUCAGAGGGGGGCACGCCUGAUAGUGGAACACCAGGAAAUAGACGAAGGAGACCAGCUACGCGAUCCCAAAGUGCUCGUAUAACUGGCCCGAGAUCGGUUCGUCGCAAACCUCAACCUCCCUCUACACUUCAAGAUUCUAAAAGCCACUGCACUAGCGAGCCAAGAUUGAAUGAUUCUGAAACUCCACCUCCACAAAAACGCCGCGGCUCACAAAGGCGCUCAACACAAAACAAUGGUAGAAGGAUUCAAAAUGUUAGAAUACAAUUAGCUUCUAGGAAGUCGAAUGCAUUUUUGGAUGUGCCGCAAUUGAAUAUCCAAAAUCUCCAAAUAGAUGAUCAGGACGAUGAUGAUAACUACAGGCUCAGAACAUUCAGCUCUUCAAAGCAGGGUGUAGUGAAUCGCGGAGAUUCAUUUAGGAGGAGAAGAUCAAGAAGCAAUAGUCUUGCUCCAACUAGUCCUAUGUAUGCUCCGGAGGAGGUUCUUCCACCGAACAAUGAUCCAAUAGAAUCAUUUUUUGUAGCAAUGGUGGGUGCCGCUGGCGUAGGUAAAGCUGCACUAUUAUCUCAAUUCCGAUCUUCCGAAUGCAUAAAUGCGUAUGACACAAGAGAAUCUUCAGGAGCACAAAAUAUAUCGAUAAUAUUGAAUGGCGAAGAAUCAGAGCUAAAAAUUUUCACCGAUAGUACGGGGAAUAAGGACGAAAUAAGUAAAGCAGAUGCAUAUAUGGUAGUUUACUCAGUAGUCGAUAAAAGUACAUUUAAUCGAGCAGAGCAAAUUUUGAAUAUGCUACAUGAUAUGGACCUCACACGCACACGUCCUUUAAUUCUGGUCGCCAACAAAAUUGAUCUAGCUCGAUCUAGAGCUGUAUCUUCUCAAGAUGGAAAGUGUUUGGCCUGCACUCAUAGGAUAAAGUUCAUAGAGGUAUCUGUUGCAAUUAAUCACAAUGUGGAUGAAUUAUUAGCAGGCGUUCUAUCUCAAAUUCGUCUGAAAAAGGAACAAUGCGCUACACAGGGAUGCAUCGAGCCAUCGUCUGCACAUUGGUAUAAGAACCGGAAUGUUGUUCGCGCAUCGAUGAAAGCACGCCAAAUGAUAACAUGGAUAUUUGGAAAAGAAGACUCCAAAUUCAAAAAUUGUGAAAAUUUACAAGUUUUGUAAAAGUUUAUACAAUUAUUUAAUUUUCCACGAUCUGUAGUUUUUAUAUACCUUUUUUACAAACUCAAAUAUGUUAAAAUAAAUUUUGGAACUGUAAAAAAGCAACUACCGCUGGAGCUGGAAUGCAGAAAACUAUUUAUUAUUUCUUACAAAUCGACCAUACUUGUUUGCAAUGGAUAUUCAACCAACAAGCCUAAUAUCGGAAUUAAUCAUGGACCAAGAAAAAGUACACUUGUCUUAAUAUCAAAAUAAAAAAAUUAAAGUAAAGUUUUCUAAAAUCAGGAAAAAUAAUGGAGGUUUUAUUUACUAGCAACGUGCACACACAAUAUUUUGCGCUUUUAGAAAAUUCAGAUUAGUAUCAAGAAACAAAUAAUCAGUUCAAUUAAUUGCAUAUUAUUCGGCAACUCGGCCGUACGAAAACCAUUUUUUUGUUAAAUAUUGUCUAUCCGGAUAAAAAUUAGACCGCUUUUUAUACCGAAGUUGGAUUUUUCUCCAGAUACAGGCAACUUUCCCAACUUCGGAAAUAGUGCGCUAGAUUCGCCUAAAGAUGCGCUAAACAACGCAUCAAUUAGUUUGACAGAUAAAACACAGACAAACAGACAUAACACUCGUCAAAUUUCCAUCGUUCACUGAUUUACUAGUAAAUUCAAAUAAUCAUUAGUUGGCCAAUCGGUCACUAGCGGCGCGCGUAUCGGAUUUACUCGAGUUUGACAUUUGCUCACUACCGCCAUCUGGUUCGUGAUUUGCCCAACUAACUGAAAUCAACAGAUGUCGCUAGUGUUUAAAUUACGAUGAAUUUGAUGAGUGAAUGUUCAAUGU